GUCCACGCUGUAAACGAUGGGCACUAGGUGUGGGAGGUGUCGACUCCUCCCGUGCCGUAGCUAACGCAUUAAGUGCCCCGCCUGGGGAGUACGGCCGCAAGGCUAAAACUCAAAGGAAUUGACGGGGACCCCGCACAAGCAGCGGAGCAUGUGGUUCAAUUCGACGCAACGCGAAGAACCUUACCUGGGCUUGACAUGUUGGUGACAGUCGUGGAAACACGAUCUCCCUUCGGGGCACCUUCACAGGUGGUGCAUGGCUGUCGU
rnacentral:rRNA from 1 species